rnacentral:rRNA from 1 species
UAGGGAAUCUUGGGCAAUGGGGGGAACCCUGAUCGAGCAACGCCGCGUGAGGGAAGAAGGUUUUCGGAUCGUAAAGCUCUGUUGUUAAGGAAGAACGAGUGUGAGAAUGGAAAGUUCAUACAGUGACGGUACUUAACCAGAAAGGGACGGCUAACUACGUGCCAGCAGCCGCGGUAAUACGUAGGUCCCGAGCGUUGUCCGGAUUUAUUGGGGGUAAAGCGAGCGCAGGCGGUUUGAUAAGUCUGAAGUUAAAGGCAGUGGCUCAACCAUUGUAGGCUUUGGAUACUGUUUAGCUUGAGUGCGGAAGGGGAGAGUGGAAUUCCAUGUGUAGCGGUGAAAUGCGUAGAUAUAUGGAGGAACACCGGUGGCGAAAGCGGCUCUCUGGUCUGUAACUGACGCUGAGGCUCGAAAGCGUGGGGAGCAAACAGG